GCGGGGCGCAGCAUUGCGCCCAGGCCGUCCUGGGGCACCUCUACACCGCACAGCCUUUCUGGGCAACCUGUUCCAGUGCGCAGCCACUGCACAGGAAAGAAAUUCUUCCUCAUAUUCAGGUGGAACUUCCUAUGCACCACCGAGCAGAGCCUGGUCCAUCCUCUUGGCACCCCCUCUUUAGAUAUCUAUACACAUAAUGAGGUCCCCUCUCAGUCGUCUCUUCCCGAGGCUGAACAGGCCCAGCUUCCUCAGCCUUUCCUCGUAAGAGAGAUGCUCCAGUCCCUUGACCAGCUUUGUCACCCUCCGCAGGACCCGCUCCAGGAGCUGCAUAGCCCCGGCCCCGCAUUCUCCACCAGCUCCCGCCUCUGGUGCUGAGGAGCCCCGAGCCGCACAGAGCCCUCCAGGCGCGGCCUCCCCUCCCCGCCUCCCGGUCGUUCCCCGCCCCUCGGCUCCUCCCAUCCCUGUCUGUGUGUCCCGGGAGAAUGCGAGUGUUCCCCGCAGCGCUUAUCGCCCUUAUCGCCGGCGCAGCCCCACGGAAGGGCCGCUCCCUGCCCCAGAGGCUCCCGCCCGCCUGGCGGGGAAACCUUGGUGAAACACACUUUUGGCACCAGCCAGUAGGUAUUGCCUACUUGGAUUUCAUUUAAAAAGAAAUGCAAGCUUUAUCCCUUCUGAUGUCAGGGGACACGAGUGUAGCUCCGAUCCCCAAAUCUUUAGCUCUGAUAGCUCGGAAAAUAUAGAGGACGCACUUUUACUUCGCUCUCCACCCCACCCCCCCCUCCCCCUCCCCAAGCUGUUAAAGAGACGUGAAGGAUAAGGUUAGGACUUAAAAAGUAUCUGUGGGACUGCUGUUGACUUUUGCGUGCCUGGACUUAACAAUACGGACCAGCUGUUGUACAAAGUAAAUGUCUCCUUUCGUUCCAUCCCAGACACAGGUGCUGCAAUUUCAAUUUUGCAUGCUCUGACAAUGAACGACAAAAUUUUUCAUUUCUCACGCUCUACUGCAGAGGCAUCCUCAUAAGAAUCAGCUUUUCAGCUUGAUGUUUCCAAAACAUUUAAAAUGAGAGGCCCAAAGAUGAAGAUCAUUAAAUUUGCAUGGAAAAUUGAAUAUCAAACAAAUAAUAGCCGGAUGUUUCAGUAUUGUGAAGGUCUUGGAAGACUGAUCAUGCAAAGGACAAUCUUCGCAAAAGAACCCUCAAGUGAUAAGCAGUCUCUGGAAUGAUAAGAACCAUCCCUUUGCAUUAUGGAGAGAUGAGUAUUUGAUCAGCAUGUUUCCAAGGUCUCAAAAAAUAAUUUGCUUUGUGGUAUGGAAUGUACAGUAGACACAUGAGAAAAGGAUAACUAAAAGCAUAAUUACUGUUUCUUAAGCUAACUUUCAGAAGCAAACCUG